UUUAAAUCCCAAUAACAGCAAUAAAGGAAAAAAUUCAGCGGACACGAUAUGGACAGAUCGAUAUCCCAAACGCACUUGCACCUUAAUUGAAGAGAGAGAUUACAUGAGAGAGCUAAUUGAUGCCGUUGAUUGAAAGUUGUAAAUGAAAGACCGAAUUUGGUCGUUUCGGUGUAUUCCCAAUCACAUCUCUUGAAGAUAAACUAACUAACCCAAUAAAUUUCUAAGCUAGAAAAACAACUAACGCAAAGACAUACACAGAGCAUAGGCUAAACGAAAAAUUUUAUUAAAGAAGAGAGAGAAUGAGUUUCCACAGCCAAGAACCUGAUACUGAGAGACAGAGACCACUAAGGCGAUGUGGAUGCAGUCUCGGGAUGCCACAGAAGCUACCUAAGCUUGUGCGACUACUCUGAGAGAGGAUAACUUCUCACAUGCCCUUGUGGCUGAGAACCAACCACAUGACCUCCCAAAUCUUAACAGUAAGUGACACUGAUUGAGAGCAAGAAACCAAAAUUCAAACACCUUGUCAAUAGGCACAUACCGCACAAGAGACACAAGGGAGAGACGCCACAGCAGAUACAUGGAGUAUAAAUCUCGUCAGGGCUCCACACGCCACCACAAUCGAUGUCGAAACUCUAAAUCCGCAAAAAAACUGAAGCUUGGUUGAACGAUUUGAGAAAGCUAGAUAAAGGGUUGACGCCUAUCCUAAGCCCGCUCCUCAUCUCCGCUCUUGUACCACCAAAUGAGUGGAAAAUAUGCAGCAACAAACCAGACAGCACCGUCAACCCCGACAACAGCCUCUUGCUCAAAUCGGCGCUUUUGUGCAUGAGUUGUCGUUGAUUAAAGAGAGAACAAAGGCGGUGAGAAAAACCCAUAGCUCGAACAAGACAGACAUGAGAAAGAAAAGGCCGACGACUUAGAAAGUAAAAAUAUAGUACCCUCUGACUUCGGUUGAAAGGAUUAUUUACGUCAGAAAAAAAUGAAGAUGCGAUAAAACUUUUUUUAUUAGAAUAAAAA
rnacentral:lncRNA from 1 species